rnacentral:rRNA from 1 species
CCUACGGGUGACUGCAGUGAGGAAUAUUGGGCAAUGGACGCAAGUCUGAACCAGCCAUGCCGCGUGCAGGAAGAAGGCUCUAUGAGUUGUAAACUGCGUUUGUACGAGGGUAAACGCAGAUACGCGGAUAUGUCUGAAAGUAUCGUACGAAUAAGGAUCGGCUAACUCCGUGCCAGCAGCCGCGGUAAUACGGAGGUUUCACGCGUUAUCCGGAUUUCUUGGGUUUAUAGGGUGCGUAGGCGGUCGGAUAAGUUAGAGGUGAAAUCCCGCGGCUCCACUUCGGACUUGCCUGUGAUACUGUUCGUCUAGAGCGUAGUUGCUGUAGGCGGAAUGUCUUGUGUAGCGGUGAAAUGCU